UACGUAGGGGGCAAGCGUUGUCCGGAUUUAUUGGGCGUAAAGAGCGUGUAGGCGGUUAGGUAGGUCCGUUGUGAAAACUCGAGGCUCAACCUCGAGACGCCGAUGGAAACCAUCUAACUAGAGUCCGGAAGAGGAGAGUGGAAUUCCUGGUGUAGCAGUGAAAUGCGUAGAUAUCAGGAGGAAUACCGAUGGCGAAGGCAGGUCUCUGGGCUGACACUGACGCUCAUGCACGAAAGCGUGGGGAGCAAACAGG
rnacentral:rRNA from 1 species